GUAAGGAAUAUUGGUCAAUGGACGCAAGUCUGAACCAGCCAUGCCGCGUGGAGGAUGAAGGUCCUCUGGAUUGUAAACUUCUUUUAUCUGGGAAGAAAUCCACCUUUUCUAAGGUGGUUGACGGUACCAGUUGAAUAAGCACCGGCUAACUCCGUGCCAGCAGCCGCGGUAAUACGGAGGGUGCAAGCGUUAUCCGGAUUCACUGGGUUUAAAGGGUGCGUAGGUGGAUUGGUAAGUCCGUGGUGAAAUCCCCGAGCUUAACUUGGGAACUGCCAUGGAUACUAUCAGUCUUGAAUACCGUGGAGGUCAGUGGAAUAUGUCAUGUAGCGGUGAAAUGCUUAGAUAUGACAUAGAACACCCAUUGCGAAGGCAGCUGACUACGCGGAGAUUGACGCUGAGGCACGAAAGCGUGGGGAUCAAACAGGAUUAGAAACCCCAGUAGUCC
rnacentral:rRNA from 1 species